UAUCACAUGAUAAAGUGAUAACGUAAGUUUCAUCAUGGGCGACGGUUGUGGACAAACUGUUCUGUUCAAAAGAUCACAGAGGAAAUGGCGUCUUCUGCUCAGUUUUAAGAAAAUUACGGGAAAAUGCACUGUUUAUGAUGUCAUAAUUACACUUGUGAAAGUCUUUCUAGCUGUGUGGGAGUAGAGGAGAAUUCCUAAAGUAGUAAAGAACCCUGUUCCAAAUUCAACCCCAUUAUUAAAGAUACUUGAUCAAUUCUAUUUAUUAAGAAGAUCUUAACGAUCGGUUCCGACAUCCAAACCUAGAGAUACAGCUAUUCAUGCAACUGGAAUUAUAUGCUGACGUGAAAGACAAUCUGACAUGACUUACUCUGUUUCAAUUUGAUUGAUAUAACAAAACUGUACUAUCGUUCUCUUAAUAAAAGAGUAUACAAGAUCUAUCUUCUUGUUUUGCAACAAAGCAGCACCGUAAAAACCUCUUGAAAUGUCUUCGAUAUCUUUCGACAAACUAACUGCGUAGUUUCCUUUGUUUUGUUUUUUUCUAAAUAUAGAACUAUAGCUUAUUAGUUAACUCGUACGAAAACAUUUCUUUAUUUCAAACCGACAAUAUAUUGAAUAUUGCAACUUGAUUUUAAUUAAUGAAAAAUAACGCUACGGUCAUUUGGAUGAACAGUAGAUCCU